rnacentral:misc_RNA from 1 species
GAAGUGCGAUAAGCAAUGCGAAUUGCAGAAUUCCGCGAGUCAUCAGAUCUUUGAACGCAAAUGGCGCCGGAGGGAUAUCCUUCUGGCAUGUCUGUUUCAGUGUCUGAGAGGUUUCAUCAACAUCUUAAUGUGAUUGACCGGGGAAGAAGAGACACUCUCUCUUCUUUCUUGGGUCUCUCAUGAAAGAUGCGCGAGUGGAUCUUUCGGUCCAAUGAAGUGGUCACAUCACUCGUAUGUGAUUUCAUUGGGAGCACCGGAUUAUCCGCCAUGCUCGCGGUCUCAACCCCCCCUUUAUGAAGGAGAGUGUGUUUAUGCGCACUCUGCUUCAUAAGAUUUCUCUCUCUACACCCUGCAUCUGAGAUAGGCAAGAUCACCCGCUGAACUUAA